GAGGCAGCUGUGCAGCAAAGACACAGAAUAAAUCCAGCUUUGUGUCUUUUUCAUUGUAGCUGAAGUCCGGGACAAACUGUCACGGCUGGGGCGGCAGUCGUGUGGAGGGUGAGAAAGGAGGAUCCAAUAGCAGACAAUGGCGGAGGUGCAAGUGGGUUUUAUUUACAGUGCACAAAACCAAGGUGUGGGCAGAACCGAACAUAAACCUAAACUGGGAAAACUAAUACAAAAUGAAGGACAUGGAGCGAGGAGCAGAGAGACACGAAGAAACAUGGAAUAAUGCAGACUACACGGGAGAUUCACAGAGAAACACAGACGACGCGACGAGAAGCACAGGCAGACACCAACUAUAAAUACACUUGAUCGACCUUUGUUUUUAUUAUUUAUUUUAUUUUAUUUUAUUUUCAGUUGUUACAGACGGGACAGACAUGAGUGAGGGAUAGGAAAGGGAGAAAGAAAGAGGAAGGAAAAGAAAAACAGAAGGGGAGAGGGACAGUGAGAGAGGGGGGGAGAAAAAAAAAAUCUCCUGGAUCACCUGUUGAGAGAAGAAGAAUAGAAAACAAGCAAAAAAAACCCAAAGCAACAUACUAAACACAACACCAUCACAUUAAUCUAGCUAAGUGUAAACAGCAGUAAAUACUAAAUAUUGAAUGUUGUUGUGCAGCACGCAGGACAGACAGCGCACAAUGUGCUUUGAAGUAGCAGCCAAGAAAGGUGUAAUUUAAGUCUACAAACAGUGAACACCCGUGUGCACACCUGUGUGGAUCAGCGCGCUUGUAUUCAAAUGGUUUCCACAUGUAAUGGUCUGCAAGAGGAUGUAGCGAGCCAUAGCCCCGUCCCCCAGGGCAUGAAGCAGGCAUGGAGGAGAUCCAGGCCCCAGACAUCCAGAGGCCCCAGAGUGCAAGAGCCCAAGGAGGACCACCGGAGGGGCAUCCGUGCCACCCUCAUGGGAAGGGCUGAGGAUCCCCAGACAAGGCGUCACCCAGGAGUCACCGAGCAGAAGCUAGAGGGGGCUGCACCGGCGUGCCCGCCGGCUCUGCCGGCAGCCAGCUGUGCCAGAGUGAACCGAGCCGCAGGCCCAGAGGCCGGAGGCCCGAGGGCCCCCCGCACCCCGGAGGAGGCCUGACCGAGCAACAGGUGCCAGGCCCCGCCAGGUAGCCACCGGGAGUGAGCUGGUACAUACCUCGUGUGUUGUUUGUGAAGGAAGGACCCAAAAUGCAGGCAAAUGCUGUAAUGCGAGUGAGCAUUUAUUUACAGGGGUGGCAAAGCGGCAAAAACAGCAAAUGAGGAAUGGGGAGCUACCAAAACUUAGACUGGGGAAAACUAAAGAACAAACCUGAAACGAGUAGUAGGGAGAAACAUGAAGAUGAAAAUCAGUGAGACAUAGAGAAACAACAGUAAAAGGCAACCAGUAAAGGCAACCCACACUAUAAAUACACACACAGAGGAGCACGAAAUGGCAAACCAGAGGGAGGCACAUGUAACACUGAUGUAGCGCUAAUGAGUUAAUACAGGCUAGGGAUUCAUCAAGUUUGCGGACGACACAACGGUGGUGGGUCUCAUUAGCAACAGGGAUGAGACCGACUACAGAAGUGAGGUGAGACGCCUGGCCACGUGGUGUGCUGACAACAAUCUCUCUCUGAAUGUGGAGAAGACGAAGGAGAUUGUUGUGGACUUCAGGAGAAUGCACACCCAACAUGCUCCUCUGACCAUUGACGGAGCGUCUGUGGAGAGAGUGAGCAGCACCAAGUUCUUGGGUGUGCACAUCACAGAGGAUCUCUCCUGGACGUACAACACCACAGCACUGGCCAAGAAAUCACAGCAGCGUCUCUUCUUU
ensembl:lncRNA